GUAACAAGGUUUCCGUAGGUGAACCUGCGGAAGGAUCAUUAAAGAGACGUUGCCCUUCGGGGUAUACCUCCCACCCAUUGUUUAUUUACCUUUGUUGCUUCGGCAGUCCCGGCUUCGGCCCACCGGCUCCGGCUGGUCAGUGACUGUCGAAGAUACCAAAACUCUGUUUGUUAAUAUUGUCUGAGUACUAUAUAAUAGUUAAAACUUUCAACAACGGAUCUCUUGGUUCUGGCAUCGAUGAAGAACGCAGCGAAAUGCGAUAAGUAAUGUGAAUUGCAGAAUUCAGUGAAUCAUCGAAUCUUUGAACGCACAUUGCGCCCUCUGGUAUUCCGGGGGGCAUGCCUGUUCGAGCGUCAUUACAACCCUCAAGCUCUGCUUGGUAUUGGGCACUGCAGGUUUCUGCAGGCCUUAAAAUCAGUGGCGGUGCCAUUCGGCUUCAAGCGUAGUAAUUCUUCUCGCUUUGGAGACCCGAGUGGUUACUAGCCAGUAACCCCCAAUUUUUUCAGGUUGACCUCGGAACAGGUAGGGAUACCCGCUGAACUUAAGCAUAUC
rnacentral:rRNA from 1 species